UUAAAGGUAAUUGACGGGACCCGCACAAGCGGUGGAUGAUGUGGUUUAAUUCGAUGCAACGCGAAAAACUUACCCACCUUUGACAUGUACGGAACCCUUUAGAGAUAGAGGGGUGCUCGAAAGAGAGCCGUAACACAGGUGCUGCAUGGCUGUCGUCAGCUCGUGUCGUGAGAUGUUGGGUUAAGUCCCGCAACGAGCGCAACCCUUGUCAUUAGUUGCUACAUUCAGUUGGGCACUCUAAUGAGACUGCCGGUGACAAGCCGGAGGAAGGUGGGGAUGACGUCAAGUCCUCAUGGCCCUUAUAGGUGGGGCUACACACGUCAUACAAUGGCUGGUACAAAGGGUUGCCAACCCGCGAGGGGGAGCCAAUCCCAUAAAGCCAGUCGUAGUCCGGAUCGUAGUCUGCAACUCGACUACGUGAAGUCGGAAUCGCUAGUAAUCGUGGAUCAGAAUGUCACGGUGAAUACGUUCCCGGGUCUU
rnacentral:rRNA from 1 species